ACUCCUGCCUUGAACUGUCGCUUUCAUAGCGCGCAUUUCUUACCACAGCGUAAGAAUAGAGGCAGGAGUUUUA
rfam:Candidate division WWE3 bacterium RIFCSPHIGHO2_01_FTLL_35_17 rifcsphigho2_01_scaffold_609, whole genome shotgun sequence.